rnacentral:sRNA from 2 species
GGCUGGAGUUGAAUCUUACAUAUGACCCUCGCAAUAGUUGCAUAUUGUUAUUGCUAUUGUCAUUAUUGUUAUUAUUAUUAUUAUUAUUAUUAUUAUUAUUAUUAUUAUUAUUAUUAUUAUUAUGUAGGAGACUCCACCGUGUUGUCUGUAUUUGGUUGGCCUGUUUCAUGAUCAUUCUUUCAAAGGUUCCCAGUCCUUGUAUUGUGGUGGAUGUAAAGCUUGUGAAAACAGAAUUUUCUGCCACCCCCUGAAAAGUAGUAGCAAAACACUGCAAAAAUAACCAAAAUAUCCAUGUAUCUCUAGAAUCAUUCAAAUAUCAUUCAAUUCAUUCAAAUACACAUCUUUAUCAUCAAAUAUAUAUCUUUAUCAUCAAAUCUGUCAAUAUGUCUUCUCAGCUCAGCAAAUUUAUCAUCAAUAAGAUUAUACAUUUUCUAAAUAAUAGUUAUAUAUCUACUCAGAU